rnacentral:rRNA from 1 species
UUAACUGAAUCCAUAGGUUAAUGAGGCGAACCGGGGGAACUGAAACAUCUAAGUACCCCGAGGAAAAGAAAUCAACCGAGAUUCCCCCAGUAGCGGCGAGCGAACGGGGAGGAGCCCAGAGCCUGAAUCAGUGUGUGUGUUAGUGGAAGCGUCUGGAAAGGCGCGCGAUACAGGGUGACAGCCCCGUACACAAAAAUGCACAUAUUGUGAGCUCGAUGAGUAGGGCGGGACACGUGGUAUCCUGUCUGAAUAUGGGGGGACCAUCCUCCAAGGCUAAAUACUCCUGACUGACCGAUAGUGAACCAGUACCGUGAGG